rnacentral:tRNA from 1 species
GAGGGUAUAGCUCAGUGGUAGAGUGUGUGCUUAGCAUGCAUGAGGUCCUGGGUUCAGUCCCCAGUACCUCUA